CCCUUAGAUGUCCUGGGCCGCACGCGCGCUACACUGAUGCAUUCAACGAGUUUUACCUUGGCCGAGAGGCCUGGGCAAUCUUUUAAACCUGCAUCGUGAUAGGGAUAGAUUAUUGCAAUUAUUAAUCUUGAACGAGGAAUUCCUAGUAAACGCAAAUCAUCAAUUUGCAUUGAUUACGUCCCUGCCCUUUGUACACACCGCCCGUCGCACCUACCGAUUGAAUGGUCCGGUGAAGCCUCGGGAUUGUGGCCAGUUCACUUUAUUGGGAGUUGGCUGUGAGAACUUGUCUAAACCUUAUCAUUUAGAGGAAGGUGAAGUCGUAAC
rnacentral:rRNA from 1 species